UGGGGAAUAUUGCACAAUGGGCGAAAGCCUGAUGCAGCAACGCCGCGUGAGGGAUGACGGCCUUCGGGUUGUAAACCUCUUUUAGUAGGGAAGAAGCGAAAGUGACGGUACCUGCAGAAGAAGCGCCGGCUAACUACGUGCCAGCAGCCGCGGUAAUACGUAGGGCGCAAGCGUUGUCCGGAAUUAUUGGGCGUAAAGAGCUCGUAGGCGGUUUGUCGCGUCUGGUGUGAAAACUCGAGGCUCAACCUCGAGCUUGCAUCGGGUACGGGCAGACUAGAGUGCGGUAGGGGAGACUGGAAUUCCUGGUGUAGCGGUGGAAUGCGCAGAUAUCAGGAGGAACACCGAUGGCGAAGGCAGGUCUCUGGGCCGCAACUGACGCUGAGGAGCGAAAGCAUGGGGAGCGAACA
rnacentral:rRNA from 1 species